ACGAAACUAGUACGUGGAAUGUGUACCUGGCCAGUACACAAGAAACGUAUGACGUUCGUGAGACCGUGAUAAUUAUUACAGGUAUGUCCGAUAGAGUUUGGUAGCAGCUGGGCGUGUGGGUGAAAUGGUUAGUAAGACUCUCGGGGGAUUGAGAGGACUUUGUAGGAAUGAAAUAUGCGAAUGCGAUGCUUGAAUCCGCGAGACGGAUACAAGGAAUGAAAUAUGCGAAUGCGAUGCUUGAAUCCGUCUCGCGGAUUCAAGGAAUGAAAGAUACGAAUGUGAUGCUUGAAUCCGCGAGACGGAUUCAAGGAAUGAAAGAUAUGGAUGCACUGCUUGAAUCCGCGAGACGGAUUCAAGGAAUGAAAGGCAUGAAUGCAAUGUUCAAAUCCGCGAAGCGGACUUAAGGUAUAAAAAGGCGAAAACUAGUCUACAUAAGAAGGGUCAAUAGUUUGACCAUGAUUACGUCAAACAAGACAUAUAAGUAAAUGUAAUGCAAAUGAACAAAGGAAUGAUAAGAAGGAAGAUAUUCGAAUGUGAAGUGAUUACAUACCAAAACAAAUAAAUAUUCCUUAAGUGAUAUGAUCCAAAUUAUGUUUAAACUUUUGUAUAUAUAUAUACAUGAUUAUAUUUAUGUAAAUGUGUUGUAAGCAAGAAUGGUAGAAAGGAUAAAUGGGACAUACGGGUCAGAUGGCAACCGCCAUUUGAACUCGGUAGUUAAUGAUAUGAUUUGUCAAGUUUCAUGCUCAUAGGUGAGCUUGAAGAAUGGAGACGCAAUGUCACUAACCGGAAAGGAAUGAUCAUCGUAAGGUAUGGAUAACGAAUCAAUGGAAUUUACUUCCGUCAGAUGUGUAUAAAAAGAGUCAUAACUUAAAUAGGAGGUUAUGACUCGACUAAAGGCUGAUGUGUUAGAAUAGAAUAUAUAUAUAUACAAACCGUAAUGCAAAGAUGUAGAAUGACUCUCAAAAUGUUCGUAAUGAUCGUCAAGUGGUAUAGAACAUGAAUGCCUGUAACUGUGGUAAUUCUGAUAGAAUGUAAGUGAUGACAAGUACCGUUAAGAAAUACCAACCUUGAUGCUUGGCUUGUUGGCCAUGUUCAUUUGAACAAGACACUGUAGAAAAGAUACGUAUGGCAUAAAUAACGAUAGUAACCAUGGAAAUAAUGCUUAAUUUUUGUGUUAAGUAUGGAUAAGAGAGUUUAAGAAGGGUGAUUUUGAUUGUAACAAUAAGUCUUUAAAUGAUUAUAAUAUGCGUAUGAUAAUAUAUCGACCCCUCCUAUGAGGUUAAGGAUAAUCGGAAGUAACGAUAGUAAUGGAAUGUUUAGGAUGGCUCAUAGUGAACAAAAUGAAAGAUAGCAUAUGAUGUAUGAGUAGAAUGAAAUAAAUCGACUUAUUUCAAUUAGUAAAUAUACAAAUGUAAUAUGCUUAAAUAGGAUGUUAGAAACAAGCCAUAGACUUAGUAUGUAUGGUUAAUAACUGCAUACAAUUGGAAUAAAUUCGAUGAAUAAAAUGCUAGGGAUAAUAUGUGCUAGAAACUAGCAAUAUGAAGUGAAAGACACUAAUAAGAGCUCUGGAGCAGAAUCUAACAUAAGUAUUGUGAAUGAACAACUUGAAAGGGGUAAGAGUAGAAUUGGUUUAAUUUUAAAUGAAAAAGGUUUCGGGGACGAAACCUUAUUUAAGGGGGGUAGACUUGUAACACCCCAAAACCCGAAUGUUUAUAUUUGUCGUAUGUCCAUAUAAGACACAUCAUGAAAUAAAUAACUAGGCUAAUUAACCUAGUUAAGUAUAUGGCAAAACUAUUAAAUGGAGAGAGUUGUGCCAAAUGUGUUCUAAGUGCCAACAUGAGGGACUAAUUGAAGUAAAAUGGAAGUUGAGUUAUUAAAAUGAAAAAUAAACACACACAAACACACAAUUCGUGUGUGUUCUCGAACGUACAGGGGCUUCAAGAAGCCAAGCCCUAGUUCUUCAAAAAGCUUCAAAUUAAGGGAUGAUUCAAGGCUCAAAUUCGUGAAUUCUCAUGGAUUAAUGAUCACCAUCACAAGGGGAUCAUAAGGAACGUGUCAAUGAGAGCACAAGCAUAGGAGGAUAACGGGUCAAGAUAAGGCAAGGUCACAAAUACACUUAUUGGAGCACUCAAGGUAAGUGAUUUCUAUAAUCACUUCUUAUUUUAUUUAAGUAAAGUAGCGUUAGUUGAUUAAGCAUGAUGGGGUUUGAAGUUUCAUAUGGUUUUGGUCGUAUGAAAUUGGUAAUUUUAGCUUAGUAGAUCGAAUGGGACAAUAUAAAGUUGUAAUGCUAUGAAGAAUAAUGUCUAUGUAAUGGCUACGGUAUGUGACCGGGUAAUGGGUAAAAUUGCACAUAAGUGCACCAUCCGAGAAUGGGGACUUAGGUUAAUGGGUCAAAGUGAAGGUAUACUUUAGCACGGAACGUUUGUACAAGCAAUGUCGAUAGUAUUUCAUGUGCCCGGUUAGUGUAAGGUGUUAUAACAUUAACAUUAUGUGAGCUUUAAGUGUAAACAUAUGAGUUGUUGAUAAAUGCAUGACGGGUCGAAUAAUUCGUAAUGGAUAAUAAGCCGAAAAUGUAUAAGUUAAGAAUUUCCUUAACCCGGAUGUUGGAUUUUAAGUUCACAUAAUAGAAUGUUAGUUUACAAUCAUGCAGGAAGAAACGGGAGGUUAAUCGGGUAAACGGUUUAAAAGCUAUGCAAGUUUUUGUGCGUGCGAACGACAAAACAACACAGCAGAAAAAUGGCAAAACUAGAGGCCGUCGCCGACGCCUUGUGCAUUUUCAGUUUUCUCCGACGCCUAAUUUUCCUGUCUACGGAGGUUUCUGGCUACGCGAAAAACUAAUAGCCGUCGCCGACGCCCUAUAGGGCCGUCGCCGACGGCCUCCAUAUGUUUUAAAUGCUGAAAUUCGUUAAUUAAGUUAUUUUGUGUACCGUAAGCUUCGGUAUAUUAACCGUGGUCUACGACGGGCCUCCCAAGCAUAAUUUUGAAUGUUUCCUUGAUGCUUUUGGAUCAUAAAUCCAAGUCUAAGCACUCCAUAAUUAAUGUACGAGUAUGAUAAGUGAAUGCGAAUAGGUUAAAUCAAGAAUUGAAUGUAAGUACGUAUGUGUAGACAUGAUUAUGUAAGCAUUUAGUUAUGUAUAUAGAUAAGUAGAUGUGUAGAUAUGUAGGUGCGUAUGAUUAGACGUAUGAAUAUACGAAUGCACGAAGUAGGAUUUAUCGCCUAUGAAAAGAAUGGGACAGGUAUGCAUGUAUACAUGGUUUCAAUACGUUUGAGUAUGGACGUUACUAAUGAUGUGCUUGAGAUUGGAAUGUAAUGCAGGGAUGAGAACGUCAGACUCUUGUAGAAUUGAAGCCGAACCUGGAAGCCGAACUCGAAACAAAGGAAUCCGAGAGGAUAGUCGAAUGAAUUAAAGUUUAUGUUGUUGAAUGUUAUAUGAUUUUUAAUUGUACCAGAUUAUUGUUGUAUGAUGUUGUCAAUAACUAAUGGUUAAGUUGUAUGUGAUGUCCACAGGUACUACACGGAUUUCUUCUACCACUAUCGAAGAUAAGCGGGCAUAGAUCGAGUCGAAUAACAAGGAUUGUACGGAAGGAACGGUUACGUAGUCUUAAUUUUGUAACACAUUAAUUUGUAAAAAGGGAAGUGAAUUUUGUAAGCUUCUUGAAUGUGUGUAUUAUUUUAAGAUCGUAAAGGAAUUUUUAAAGCUAUU